UCUUGCGUCACUCAUCGCUGCCUGCCACAUGAAUCUAGGAUUAGUGCCUUUAAGUGUUGUGUUCAAGUGUUGCUUUUAAGUGUACACAAAACAAACGAAGAGACAUGGAUUCCGACGGCCCAAGUAGUUCUGUUUCUCCACCAGGAAAGAAAAAAAGACUGGUAUCGCCAAAGUUUUAAUAAGGACUCUUAAUGAGUGGCUGAAAGUCGAUGAGCUGAGGGACUGGCUCAAGCCUGAUCCUAGUGACGAAUUUGGAGCACUGUGCAGUGUUUGCGACUGCAAGCUGAAAAGCUGUAACAAAGCAUCGCUUCUAAAUCAAAGACUCCUCCAAACACUUGAAAAAAAUUUUCAUCAAAGAAACAAAAUGUUAAAAUUCAGAGUUUUCUAAGCAAACUACCUGAAGAUGAUUCUUAUGACAAGGCUGAGGUUUUACUAACAGGAUACAUAGCUGAACAUGGUGUACCUUUCGCACAGGCGGAUCAUUUAGUGGAAACUAUAAAGAAAAUGUUUCUGGAUUGUGAAGUUGCACGUGGUAUGACUGAAAAAAAAAAAAAAAACCUUAUAUGCUUCAAGAAGGCAUUGUUUGGGAGGAACGAGAAAGUGUAGCCGCCAUCUACAGGGGCAGUAACUUUUCCCUCAUAAUAGAUGAGAGUACAGACGUUUCUGUUUCUCAGAUGCUAGUAGUGAUGGUGCGCUAUUAUGAUGAAAAGAAAUGCGGAGUUACAGAUGCACUACUAGACAUAGUUGAAGUGGAUGAUGCAAGUGCCUCAGGGCUGUACAAGUGUGUGAAGGAACUGCUGGAAAGCAAAGAGAUUCCUCUGAGGAAUAUCAUCGGCUUUGUGAGUGAUAAUUGUUCCACCACGCUUGGAAGAAAUAAUGGUUUUCAGGCGUUGUUAAGGAAGGAUGUUCCUGAUGUGUUUAUCUUUGGCUGUGUAUGUCAUUCCUUUGCCUUAUGUGCUUCUGCCUGUUUGCCCUCAAGGGUUGAAUCCCUUAUGAAGGAUAUUUGUUGCCAUUUUACAAGAAGUAGCAAGCGUCAGCACGACUUCCAUUUACUGGAAGAAGUUGUACAGGCACCUAAACAUAAAAUGCUGGAAUUGUCUCAAACUCGCUGGCUAUCACGAGGAAAGGUCAUAACCAGAAUUUUAGAACAAUGGGAAGCACUUAAGCUUUUCUUUCAAGCAGAAGCAAAAACUGACAAGAUUGAUGGUGCUGGAUAAAUUCUUAACACAAUGAAUUCUGGAACUAAGCAUAUGCUGAUCUUCCUUAAUUACGUCCUACAGAAAGCGAACCUGGAGUUUCAGUCAGAGCACUUCAGAUUAUCCACCCUUUUUUCAACAAUAACAGAUGAGUAUAGGAGUUUGUUGGGCAUGUUUGUUCGGGAUGAAGUGGUGCAGUUACAAAAACUAGGUGACAUUAGUCCUCACAACCCUGGAAAUCACAAAACUCUCGAGGAGAUUGAUCUCGGAGAAAGAUGUGAAGCUCUGUUAACCUCAGAACCUCUUGGAGAGGAUGAAAAACGAUUUCGAAGUGACUGUAAAGUCUUCAUGGCCGAACUAUGUGGAGAGAUAAGGAAAAGAUUUACUUUUGAAAAGCAAAGUGUCCUUGCCUUACUAAGAGCCUUGGAACCCAGUGAAGCCUUGUCCCCACAAAGAAAUAUGAAAUCCAUAUCAAAGUUGGCAGUGCACUUUCCAAUGCUGGUGAAAGAUCUAGAUAAACUACAAGAUCAGUGGAGGGACUUGCUGUACACAAGAUCAGCCUUAGAAAAAAUGAGUAAGCAAGCAACAACCUUUUGGAGUGAACUAAAAAAAAAGUGAAAGAUGGUAAUGAUAUGUGUAAAUUUGGCCUCCUAUCACAAUUCAUGUGCAGUCUUCUCGCAUUGCCUCAUUCAUCAGCCUCAGUAGAAAGAAUAUUUUCCCAGCUCCAUAUGAUUAAAACAGACCAGACAAACAGACCACGUUGCAACAGCUGCUAAUCGCAUCCUUGCAAAGCAAUCCAUCUCAAGGCAAGACGUUCCGUGCUAUAACUGGGAGCCGUCAAAAUCACUAAUUAAUGACGUAAAAAGCGGGAAGUGCCACCAGCGAUAUGAGAGUCGGCGGAAGGAGAUGAGAGAAAAGAUGAAUCUAGCAGUGAUGAUGACCUCUCCAUGCAAUUUUUUUCUUCAAUAGCGUCAUCAUCGGAAUGUUAUCUCGCUCCCUGACGAACCUCUGUGCCACACAGACUCUCAUCACACACUCUAUCCAUCUGAUGCCUGUGUCCAAGCCAUCUUACACCCCGAGCUACAGGGUGCCACACAGCCAUAAAAAUCUGAUUGAUGAAGUCAUGCAAGCCUAGGUUUCAAGGGGGCACCGGACCACUCUCAGAGAGACGGGAAUAGCACGAACCGCACUCCUCCCACUGACGUCACGGCAAUGGAGGCCUCGGCCGUCGGCAUGACAUUCCGGUAGUGGUACCCCCCGCGGCAGUUAAGGAGCGGCCAGUACUGAUGACGGGGACGGUAACCACACCAUUCAGUGGAAGCCACUUCACCCUCCACAGAGAGAAUGAAUGACGGCACAAGCUCUUCCAGGUAUGAUGACCCACAAACACCUGCAAGCUCAAAAGUACGAGAUGACACGAAGUCACGAACACCUCCAAUGAAGAAUCCAGUCCGAAAUGAUGCAAGGCUUGAAUGAGCCAAGAAUGCACGACGACACAAGCUCUUCCAGUUGUCAUGAGCCAGGAACACCUGGAAGCUCAAAAGUGCAAGAUGACACGAGCACAUCUCCCAGAAAAAAAAAAAAACAGCUUGCAAAAAGUGAAUAUAGAUAUAAAUAGCCUGAAAGCUGGACAAAUGAACUUCUGUUCUCUGAGUGGUUGACAAAGUCAGUUAGGUCAACCAGCAGAAAAGAGUAUGUAUUCCGUAAAAAUUCGUAACUUGGAUAUUAUAUGUGGAAAGUCAGAAAUUAUCAGACAUUCACGAUCACAGAGACACAAACAGCUUAGUCUCCAAAUUUCGAAAACAAAGUCUAUCGCUAGUUAUGUGAUUACAGAUUACCCAGUUGAAAAAUUUACACUUCAGGUGUAUGUGAACCUUUACUAGACCUAUUUUAAACUUUAUUUCCUUACAUGAAGUCUUUGCAGAAAGUAAAGAAAAAAGAAAAGUAAAAGAAAGUGAAGGAAAACAGAGCCUCAAAUAUAAUUAGACAAGUGUUUGGAAAGUAUUUUGCUGCUAAACUAUUUUGAGUUUUACGUGAAAGACUUUUCUCAUAGUAGAUGAAAUAGCAGACAGUAACACUACAAAAACAAUUUUGUGUACUCGUAAUAACACAUUAUUUUGAGGAAGGGAAACGUGAAAACUCUUGUGGUUUUGAUAGAGGCUACCGAUAGUUCAACUGUAGGACUGUUCAAUGCAUUGAAAGAAUGGUUCACAUCAAAAGACAUUCCUCUUGAUAACAUUGCUGGGUUUUGUUCUGACAAUAGCAGUAUUAUGAUGGAGCCAACCAUUCAGUAGCUACAUUAUUAAGAUAUUAUUUGCCUCAUGUCAUAAUUGUAAAAUGUUCCUACCACAUGAUUCAUCUAUGCGCAUCAAAUACUUGCCUCAAACUUCCCAAAUAUGUUGAAGAUUUAUGUCGUAGCAUUUUUUUUUUUUCACACAUGAAUUCCAAGACUUUCAAAAAUGUAUUGACAUUGAACCUCAUAAAAACUUGGCUCCUGGCCAAACCAGAUAGUUUUCUUUGCAGGCAUGUAAGAAGAGAUUGUUAGAACAUUAUGAUGCAUUGGACAUGUAUUUUACAGAAUUGGCAUUUAGUGACCCAACACUGGUAAAUGAGUAAAUGACAUGAUUGUUACUGCCUUGAAAAACCCAUUUACCGGAGCCUACCUUGAGUUUCUGAACUACAACUUGGAUAAAUUUAACAGUUAUAAUACACUAUUCCAGUCUGAGGCUCCAAUUUUUUUUUUUUUUUUUUUGGUGAAAUCUGAAACAUGCAAUCUCAUUAUAAGCUUUUGUUCUUUCUUCGAGGAUGUGACUUUCUUAAAAAUGCUGAUUUUUUUUCUUUCAUCCUGAUCACCCCAUUUUUGCAAGUUCAUUUAUUCUUGUAGAGAAUGUGUAUCUAGGAGUGAGUGCAUCAGCAGCAAUGAAUUAUCCGAAAAAAAAAAAAAAAAAUCUGGAAGUAACUACAAAAGAACUUAUAAAGUUUUUAUAAAUCUUGUCAAUCUUUCCUGAUACAAGCUGUAACCCAAAUUCAAAACAAAUUUUCAGUAAAUGAUAAAAUGCGUGACAUAGUGGGCUGCAUAAACCCUUGCAGUGCUUUCUCUUUAAAUCCACCAUCUUUGGCAUAUUUAUUUAAAGACAUGCCACAAUUAAUAAAGUAUGAUGAUAAAAAUGUUGUGGGUGAAGAAUGGAGACACCAUUAUUUGGAAGAAAAAUUAUCUAAUCAGUUCCACUUUACAAAGUACUGGAAUAUUGUGUUAAAUAGCAAAAAUACUGCAGGAUUGCCAUGCUUUCCUAAUUUAACUAUAGUGAUAUCCACUCUCCUUUCACUGCCAUUUUCAAAUGCAGCAGUUUGGCGUUUUUUUUUUUAGCCAACUCCAUUUAACAAAAACUUCUCCGAGAUCUUCCCUUAAAAAUGAAACAUUAAAUGGGAUAAUGCAUACAAACUGCUGAAAGCAAUCAAUAAUGUAAAAAGUAGUGCAACAUGAGCAGAAAUUUAAAAUAUGUAAGUCAUUUCAUGGUGUCUGUAUGGUAAAUUAAUGCAGAAAACUGUAAAAUAUUACCUAGCUUAUUAUCAAUCAUAUUUUUUUAUAAUAUAUUAUUAAGGCAAUAUCCAAAUAUUAAGUGCAUAAUUCUCCGAAGCCAUUGUGUAAAUGGGACAGUAAAGCAAGCCACAUCAGUCCUUUCUCGGUGACAGCUUGUCAGCUAGUCAUGCGCAUCGCGUUGCAAAAAUGCCCCAAGCAGCAAUUUCCUCGGGCAACACUCGUGAGCAACACGCAACACGAAAAUCGAGUUGCGGUAUUGCGUUGUGCGGCUGCGCCACACGUUGCUCUAUGUGAACCCAGGCUGGUGGCUUACUCUGUGUCGGUGGUACUUGGUCCCUUCUCAUGUUCAGCAGGAUUUACAGGCCCUGCCGAGCAUGAGAAGGGACCAAGCACCGCCGACACAGAGUAAGUCUACCAGCCAACCAAAGUCAACCCAAUCAGCGCCUCCCACCGCCCCCAUAUAAAGAGACCGCUAGUAGCGCUGUGCCAGCCAAUCAGCAGCACCUCUUACGGUCCAGAGCGAUGCCUCGACUCAUGACAUAAAUACCAGCCUCCCAAGCGUGUCCGGUCAUUCUACAGCUACUGAGGAAGGGUUAAGGAACACGAAAUCGCGAUAUAGCACGCAUGACUAGCUGCGGCGAAGUCAUCAACCAAAUUUCAAAAGAGAAUGAGUAUGGAAUUGCCUUUAUGUACACAGAAGCAGCUCAUCCUCCAUUCUCAGCAAUAAAAACAUAUUCACAUGUACUUGAUCAUCACUUUACUGAGAAAGACUUCAAAAUAUUACACAAAGCUGACGCACAUACAGACAUUAAAAAUAUUACAACCUAUUUAUAUUAAACACUCAAAACCUGAAUUAAAGAACCAAUUAUCAUCACUCCAACUAUACAUUUUAUAAACUGCUCGGAGCUUCGGGUUCCGGGUUAGCAACCAAUCUAACUCCCACGCCGCCAUCCUUUGUCAGUCCUCAUCCCCCACAAGCAAGAGCACACCAGCUCUAUUUUACUACAUAAUACCAUUAUUUUUUCCACUUGUUUUUGCUUAACUCAGUGCCUACAGAUAUGUUUUACCAUAUAUCUUUAUUGUAUACACAUUUUUAUUUAUUUAUUUUCUUUUUUCAUUACUAUUCCAGUGUAUUACCUCACCCUAUAGGACUCGACUUUUUUUUACGGAUGUUGCUAUACCCGUUAUGGGUUAUUGUCUUUUAUCUUUAUUAUGUUGUAUACGUAUUUUUAGAUUAGUUUAUCAAUUUGAUCUGUCUUUUAGUCUCAAGAUGCCCUCCAAGAAACGGAAACGUUGCGCAAGUAAUAAAUGAAGAAGGAAA